rnacentral:lncRNA from 1 species
CCGGGAGAUGAGGCCGCUCGUUCCAAAGAGUGUGAAACAGAAAAUAGGUCAUUCCAGAGAUCGAGACUCUGGACGUCCCCUCUCCAGGGUCCGAAUCGACACUACGUCCUUUGCCGAGUGACUCAAAAGCCCCUCAAGCCAAGCAGCCGUCAUAGGAGGGUGACUAAUUGGAGGCUAGUCUGACUCCUCCCCCUUUCCCAGAACUGUGGUAGGGAUAACCUUUUGGCUGGGGACGCGCGUUACUUUACUGCUCCUGGGAAAAUGGGGGAGGGGAGGAGUGCUAAAGGAGAACAGCGGGGUGUGCAGGUGAGAAGAGGGAGAAAGAGACAGAGACAAAGAGAGAGCGCGCGCGCGCGCGCUUCAACACCUGAUAUUAACAGGCCAGCCCGUGGCGGAAUCCCUGCAGAGAGGCUGGGCAAUCUGGGGCCAGAUGUUUCGGAAGUGCGAGGUCUUUAAUUACAAGUCAUCUUGAAAGAGAAACCCCGUGGGCCCUUUGAUCCAAGCGAAGCUUCAGCCCUGGCCGCGCUUUGGAACAUCUGCUACUCCGUGAGGCCCCCCAGCCUUCCGCCCGAGCCUCCGAGAAAAGGCCGGGGAGGGGGCGGAGCCCGGGGCGGGUCGCUGCCUAGGCUGCGAGCUCCUCUCACGCGAUCACCGUGUAAAUUUCUGGGGGAAACUAGUGUCGUGACGACGUGCGAUGAGAUCAGUUUUAAUAACUUCGGAGCUAGGGCUUGUGAAGUGGAGCGAGUCACGCAGCAGCCGGCGCGGAAGGAACAGCUGGAAGGAGGCUGCUGUGCCUCAUGUGGAAGGCUGCCAGCUUGCAGAAACUCCUUGCACCAAUGCAGAUUGUUACCUCUUCAACUUAGAAUCUUGAAGGACUGCCUGGAACACUGAGAAGUGAAGUUAUUUGCCCAAGAUCAUACGGAUUAGGUGUGUCAGAGAGGAGACUUGAACUCAUACUUCUAAGGCUCAAAAAUGUUUCAUUUGUAAUAAAUAAGGCUGUGAUGUGGUUACUGUUUGUGUG